rnacentral:rRNA from 1 species
ACGGAAGGCAGCAGUGGGGGAUAUUGCACAAUGGGGGAAACCCUGAUGCAGCGACGCCGCGUGAGUGAAGAAGUAUUUCGGUAUGUAAAGCUCUAUCAGCAGGGACGAAAAUGACGGUACCUGAGUAAGAAGCCCCAGCUAACUACGUGCCAGCAGCCGCGGUAAUACGUAGGGGGCAAGCGUUAUCCGGAUUUACUGGGUGUAAAGGGAGCGUAGACGGCGAAGCAAGUCUGAAGUGAAAGCCCGGGGCUCAACCGCGGGACUGCUUUGGAAACUGUUUUGCUGGAGUGCUGGAGAGGCAGGCGGAAUUCCUAGUGUAGCGGUGAAAUGCGUAGAUAUUAGGAGGAACACCAGUGGCGAAGGCGGCCUGCUGGACAGUAACUGACGUUGAGGCUCGAAAGCGUGGGGAGCAAACAGGAUUAGAUACCCUGGUA